GACGAACGCUGGCGGCGUGCUUAACACAUGCAAGUCGAACGGUAAGGCCCUUCGGGGUACACGAGUGGCGAACGGGUGAGUAACACGUGGGUGAUCUGCCCUGCACUUCGGGAUAAGCCUGGGAAACUGGGUCUAAUACCGGCUAGGACCAUUGCCUGCAUGGGUGGUGGUGGAAGGCUUUUGCGGUGUGGGAUGGGCCCGCGGCCUAUCAGCUUGUUGGUGGGGUGAUGGCCUACCAAGGCGACGACGGGUAGCCGGCCUGAGAGGGUGACCGGCCACACUGGGACUGAGAUACUGCCCAGACUCCUACGUGAGGCAGCAGUGGGGAAUAUUGCACAAUGGGCGCAAGCCUGAUGCAGCGACGCCGCGUGAGGGAUGACGGCCUUCGGGUUGUAAACCUCUUUCAGCACCGACGAAGCGCAAGUGACGGUAGGUGCAGAAGAAGGACCGGCCAACUACGUGCCAGCCGCCGCCGUAA
rnacentral:rRNA from 1 species